rnacentral:rRNA from 1 species
UUAUGCCUACGGGGGGCAGCAGUGAGGAAUAUUGGUCAAUGGGCGCGAGCCUGAACCAGCCAAGUCGCGUGAGGGAAGACGGUCCUAUGGAUUGCAAACCUCUUUUGUCGGGGAGCAAAAGACGCCACGCGUGGCGUUCCGAGAGUACCCGAAGAAAAAGCAUCGGCUAACUCCGUGCCAGCAGCCGCGGUAAUACGGAGGAUGCGAGCGUUAUCCGGAUUUAUUGGGUUUAAAGGGUGCGCAGGCGGAAGUUCAAGCCACCGGUAAAAUUGAGAGGCUCAACCUCUUCGAGCCGUUGAAACUGG